UACGUAGGUGGCAAGCGUUGUUCGGAAUUAUUGGGCGUAAAGGGCGCGUAGGCGGUUUGUUAAGUCGGUCGUGAAAGCCCGGGGCUCAACCCCGGAGGGUCGACCGAUACUGGCAGACUAGAGUACAGAAGAGGUAACUGGAAUUCCUGGUGUAGCGGUGAAAUGCGCAGAUAUCAGGAAGAACACCCGUGGCGAAGGCGGUUCUCUGGGACGGUACUGACGCUGAGACGCGAAAGCGUGGGGAGCGAACAGG
rnacentral:rRNA from 1 species